UGGGGAGAGGCACAUAAGAUGCUGCUGCCACUGAAGGGAGAACCAUCACGACUGGAAUCAAUCCACUCAGAGGACAGCAACGAUGAGGUUCCACCACACACUUCAUCUCAUCUGGAUGUCCUACAAGUCCUGCUGUUUGCUGGGCCCCUACCACCCCAAGAAUGCACAUCUGCACCACAACACCCUGUGGAUUGCAGCCCUGGAGAUGUUGACCUGGAUGGAGCACACACAGUACUCCACAGCACCAGAGUUACUCCACUGAAGCAUGAGGAGGACCAUGUGGAGGACUGGUACAUAGGGCAAGAAGGCAGAGGUUGGGGGAAGUUUUAGCUCUGCACAUGAAGAACAUUCGGAGAAGCUCAAGCAGCUGACUGAACAUAAUGUUGAGCUGAGGCCACAGCUGGAUCUACAAUCAGGUAGAAACAAAAC